UAGGGAAUAUUGCGCAAUGGACGAAAGUCUGACGCAGCCACGCCGCGUGAGUGAGGAAGGCCUUCGGGUUGUAAAGCUCUGUCGCCUGGGAAAAACGGCUAUCCGGGGAAAGUUCGGGUAGCGUGAUGGUACCAGGAAAGGAAGCACCGGCAAACUCUGUGCCAGCAGCCGCGGUAAUACAGAGGGUGCAAGCGUUGUUCGGAAUUACUGGGCGUAAAGCGUGCGUAGUCGGUAUUGAGAGUCGCGGGUGAAAUCCCAGGGCUUAACCCUGGAACUGCCUGCGAGACCUCAGUACUAGAGUGUGAGAGGGGAUAGUGGAAUACCCAGUGUAGCGGUGAAAUGCGUAGAGAUUGGGUGGAACACCGGUGGCGAAGGCGGCUAUCUGGCUCACAACUGACGAUCAGGCACGAAAGCGUGGGGAGCAAACAGGAUUAGAUACCCCGGUAGUCCCUGAGCGGGCUGGCAAGGCGC
rnacentral:rRNA from 1 species